rnacentral:rRNA from 1 species
GAGUUUGAUCCUGGCUCAGAUUGAACGCUGGCGGCGUGCCUAACACAUGCAAGUCGAGCGGUAACAGGUGUAGCAAUACAUGCUGACGAGCAGCGGACGGGUGAGUAACGCUUGGGAAUCUGCCUGGGGGUGUGGGAUAACCUGGGGAAACUCGGGCUAAUACCGCAUACGUUGUCGGGACCUUGGUCCUGCCAAGAAAGCUGGCCUCUGUUUACAAGCUAGCGCUCCCAGAGGAGCCCGCGGCUGAUUAGCUAGUUGGUGAGGUAAUGGCUCACCAAGGCGACGAUCAGUAGCCGGCCUGAGAGGGUGAACGGCCACACUGGAACUGAGACACGGUCCAGACUCCUACGGGAGGCAGCAGUGGGGAAUAUUGGACAAUGGGCGCAAGCCUGAUCCAGCAACGCCGCGUGGAGGAUGAAGGUCUUCGGAUCGUAAACUCCUGUCAGAUGGGACGAAGGAGCGUCGGCAAAUAGUCGGCGUUCUUGACGGUACCAUCAGAGGAAGCCCCGGCUAACUCCGUGCCAGCAGCCGCGGUAAUACGGAGGGGGCAAGCGUUAUUCGGAAUUAUUGGGCG